rnacentral:tRNA from 1 species
UGUAGCUCAGUUGGUAGAGUGUUUGCCUGGCAUGUAUGAAACCCUGGGUUCAAUCCCUAGCA